ensembl:lncRNA
GGUGGAGGAGGGAGGAGGUAGUUCCUCGACCCUCGUUGUCAUAGCAACAACAAAGGUGGAGCGAUAUUUUAACAGCGGGGUUGGAUUGUUUGUUGGUUGAAGUCACGUGACGCGCCGCUGGGGAAUGGGGCUCUUCCUGUUUUACUCUACUGAGACCGACUCGAGACGCUGUUGUCAGUUUCAACAAAAUGGCUGCUGGAGCGCCACAAACGAAAACCCAGUGAACGCUUCACGUCAGCGCAGUAUCCUUUUCAAUGGAUGCAUUGGAAUUUCCCUACCUUUUGAGCAUCGGGACAUUUAACUCGCGUGGGCUCGUUUACAUGCGUGUUUGCGAACUAAAGGCAUGCUGAGAUAUUCCCUUCACGCACUUUAUUUACAUCCAAAAGCAUACAAAAGCUCAAGCUGCCAGUGCGCGCGCGCGCGCGUCUGUGUGGGUGUGCGCGCGUGUGUAGCUGCUCCUGAGGAUCGCCGAAAUGUUACAGAUGAUCAACCCUAAUCUUGCUUGCUGACGUGCAAAACUGUCGUUUAAUGUCCUUUUCACUGUUUGCACUGGUAUUUCAGAGUUCCCCCCACCCACCCCCCUCUCUGGACAGAUUCCACUGCAUAAUGAGAUGUGAAUUUCUCAACUGGAAAGUCGGGCUCGCCAUUGCAGCUCACUGCAAGAGUGAGUGAGUGAGUAGGAUCUGCUCUUGAGUGUCAGUACGGGUAUCGACAACAUCCUCCUUCACCACGCAGCUCAUGCAUCACAUUUAAACAGCAGACCGCAGGUGCUCCGUGUGCGAAAUUAAGCCUUGGCACAAAACACGUCACACAAGAGGAGAACCAUUUGAUGGAAGAAAAGAAAAAGAAAAAGCAAGAGGAAAAGAAAAAGAAGGAAGCUGCUCAGAAAAAGGCUGCUGAACAGAAAACCAAAGGUCAGUUAUGAUUUUCUUUGUGAUGCUGCAAUGAAGCAUGAAGUUAAAAAAAUGUUUAGGAUCUUCACCAUAUGCAUAAGUUUGUACCACAUGCAUUUCCUCAAACACUACUAGAGCAGCAAAACAAGAAGUUACAUGUGCUCCAGAAAUGUAAAAUGCUAACUGGCUAGUGCAUCUUUAUAAUGUGAGAGUAGAGAAGGUGUAAAGAAUACAUUUGAUCAGGGUUUGUGCAGUUAUUUACUGUAUGUGGGCGAACUGAAUGAAUUGGCACAAGACUGUGCAACAAACAGUUGGUAGAGACCAAUCUGCCAUGUUUGCUAACUGCUGAGGGAUUUAGACAUUUGUGCUUUUAAACAUUUAAACGGUAAAUGAUAUAGAGCAGUUGUAACUGGCCCUGCAGUAAAACAGAAUUAUAUUCCUUAAUGUAAUGUCAACUUAUUUGUAAUGACUUAUUCACAAACAUGAUGCUGAACAUAAAAUAUUUUACGUACAUUGCUCACAGUUUUUAUUAGUAUUAUUAUCGUUAUGGAAAUCUGCCAAAAUUAUAAAAGUGUUAAAUUCACACUAACUAAUAAUAGUGUUAGCAAUACCAAUCUAUCCAUUUCCUCAUACCCUAAAUUGUGAGUUGUGUUUGAUAAGAAUUCUGUGGUGGAAAUAACAUUUCAAAUAUUUUAAGUGAAAAUCCCGAUUUAAAAUGGCUAACUCCUUUGUCUUGCAAAGUUUGAUUUCAUAGCUCUCUUUUUAUUCAUCCUGAAUGCACACAAUUAAAAAAUUUCUUUAAAUUUUUACACUUAUGUUUU